CAUUUAGUGGGGAAUAACUGUUGGAAACGACAGCUAAUACCGCAUAAUAUUGCUGGAUAAUUUCCAGUAAUGAAAGGAGCUUUCAAGCUCCGCUGAUUGAUGAGGAUGCGGCGCAUUAGCUAGUUGGUAGGGUAAUGGCCUACCAAGGCAAUGAUGCGUAGCCGAUCUGAGAGGAUGAACGGCCACAUUGGAACUGAGACACGGCCCAAACUUCUACGGAAGGCAGCAGUAGGGAAUUUUUCACAAUGGGCGAAAGCCUGAUGGAGCAAUGCCGCGUGACUGAUGAAGGUCUUCGGAUUGUAAAGGUCUGUUGUAAGGGAAGAAAUGGUAAAACAGGAAAUGGUUUUAUCUAUGACGGUACCUUACCAGAAAGCCACGGCUAACUAUGUGCCAGCAGCCGCGGUAAUACAUAGGUGGCAAGCGUUAUCCGGAUUUAUUGGGCGUAAAGGGUGCGUAGACGGUUUUGCAAGUCUGANGUUAAAUUUAGGAGCUCAACUCCUAAUCGCCUUGGAAACUACAAGACUAGAGUAUAGGAGAGGUUAGUGGAAUUCCAUGUGUAGCGGUGGAAUGUGUAGAUAUAUGGAGGAACACCAGUGGC
rnacentral:rRNA from 1 species